GCUGCUAUAGUAUAACGGUUAGUACACCUCGUUGUGGCCGAGGAGAUUCCAGUUCGAUUCUGGAUAGCAGCA
rnacentral:tRNA from 1 species